CUACCCCCGCCUUGCUUCGGUUCGGGCGCAAGCCCGGAGCAAAAUGGGAACACGGUGCGGAGACCCGCUCUCCAAUGCCGCGACUGCCCCCGCAACUGUGAGCGGAGAGCGAGGCCUGUGUGCCACUGGGGGAUCCUCCCCGGGAAGGCCGGCCAACUCGCGAUGACCCGCAAGUCAGGAGACCUGCCGAGGCGAUCACCCUGAA
rnacentral:ncRNA from 2 species